CAGGGAAGGGUGUGGAUGAGAGAGUAGCUGAGAGCAUGGGAGGCAGGAAGCUAGGAAAGCUCAGGAAACAAGCCUGAGAGGCUGUAGCUGGCUUGAAGAAGCAACUUCAGGGGGCAAGAUAUUGAGCUGUGACCCACCGUUGGGAAAGAGGGCUUGGAACAGCCUUACAUACACCCCUGCCUAAUACAGAAAGACACGUGACUGGAGCCUGAAGGGCCAGCGCCUACUUAAGGACUGAAUAAAUUGAACCCAGCAUUCCGCUUCGCUUUCUCUUAGAAGUCAGUCUUCAGAGCCAAAUUCCUUUUACUAGCUGGGAAGCAGAGACACGGACAGUUAACACUCUUUCUGGCUACAUUGGCUGGAGGCAACAACAGGUCUUAAACAUGUAAUCUGUACUUGUUAGAGGGACUCAUUGAGCAGCAAGGCAAUUUAUUCUGUCAAAUUGGUCUGGAUUCUCAGUAUGGGGGAUAAGCGUAUUCACUGAAGCUUUUUGCAGUUAAACUCUUUUCUCCCUGGGUGAGAUUUACUUUUCAGUCCAGUCUACUUGCUUUGGAAAGCACGUUCUGUUGGUGACCCUUCAGUUGACCGGAAAAAUCAGGUCUUGAUGAAGAGGAGAAAAUCAUAGACAUGAUACAGAAAAUGAAUAAUUAUAUUAAAUAAUACUGCUUUGCAAAAUCCUUUGUAUUUUAACAAAGAAAAAUGUUUUCUAAAUAUGGUGUGCCUUAUAAAGCCCUCUGUUAAAAUCCUACCCUAAUGCUACAUUUGUAUUAUCAUUUUCAUCCCUUUGUAGGGGCCCUAUUAUGAGAGAUGUUAUUGAUACAUUGGUAUUGUGCUGGUGUUCUUCAGGGGUGUGUGUGUCUGUGUGUGUACUUUUGCUAGUAACAUUCUUUUGAUCACUUGACCCUGUUAACAGAUAUGUGAAUAAUAUCCAAGUUGGUAAUAUAUAUUGAAAAAAUAUGUUGACUAGAUUUGUGCCAUAUAAAACAUUUUCAAACAGCCUUCACUCCCCAUGCUCUCUCUUUCAAACAGUCCCCUUUAAAGCCUCUGCUAUUAAUGAUAAACUGGUCUGGCUAGGGCAGAACAUGAGACUCUGAGAGGACCUAUUUCAUAGUAGUGCAUUCUCCAGUGUUGAGUAAACUGACCUGUGAAGAAGUGCUGGUACUUACACGUGCUGUAUAUAAUGCUUUUCAUCUGAAGAUCUCAGUACACUUUAAGACUUUCAGUUAUUUUAUUCCCACAACAUCCCUUGAUGUAAGUACAUAUUAUCUAUAUUUUACAGGUGAGGAAUCCUGAAAGUAGUUGGGGAGCAUCAUGGUUCAAGAUUAUCCAGACACGUAUCCUAUUUUGUGGGUGAGGGCUAUACCAUAGGAGCUGCUCCAGUAGCUAUUUACAACCUGAGGAGGAAUCCUUAGGAAGUUGGAUCCACUGGGUUUCCAGAUUUUGUAUUCUCCGAAUGAUACAAAGUGAUUGGAAAAGUGGUCAGGAUCUGUCUUUCCUUUAGUCUGAACAUUGUUGCCCAUAGUGUGCCUUUGCAUAGAAGCAAACACAUGUUCUCCAUUCUUUGCUGGAUUGUUUGAAUAUUCUUUAUUCUUAUUCUUUCACAAUUUAGAGAACAACAAAAUACCUUUAAAACCUUUUUCACUUUAAAAUGAAGUAAAUACUGUACCUCUUUGUUUUCCUCUACCUCCAUAACUCUUCUUGCUUCCAGCAAGCAAAACACAUUAAUGGCCUCCCAAGGAUCAGGUUGUCAUAAUGUGAGAGAUACAAUGGGCCGGAUUCUCUGGUCAAGCCAAGUAGUGUUUGGUGAUAAGGUUUGGUCAUGGGAGAGUUAGGCAAAAAAGGACCGAGGCAACUUUAAGGCACCUUUAUGUUCCUGCAAUCUGAGGGCCAGCCAGAGCCCAAUCUGGUCACUGGAGUAAAUUAAAACAGACUGACAGGGAAACUGAGAAUAAUGGAAUUUUUUUCCUCUAACAAAUUAGUGUUAGAGAAGCCUUCUUUAAUGGUAAACAUUUAUGUAGCAUUGAUUCAUGUUAAGUCAGAAAUGUUCCCAUUGUGGUCAACAGAGCACCAGUGGUCUUCAUAGUCCUUGCAAAAUUAAACAGUUUGAGAACCAUUUAUGGGGUGACUGGAGUAUUGGAAGAGGGAGUGAUCUAUGAAAGGUGACUCUGCUUGCCAGAUGGUCUGCAGAAUGAAAAGGGCAGCAAAAUAUGACCAUGUCUGUGUCUUCAGAACUGAUGAUGCCACUCUAUCUUGGGUAAAUAUUGCAACCAGUGAAACAGAUGUGCAAUGGUGCAGCUGGGAGACACUGAGAUACUAACACCAAAGUAACAACAGGCAGAAUGAAUUUUCCAUUAGUCUCCUACUCAUUUUCAUUGGGGGCUUAGUAAUGGGGGGCUUAGUGAGGCACAGGAAUGUCAGAGACAUUUAGAUAUAUUAUUACUGUUGUUUUUUGUAUUUCUAAAGCACAUACCCUCAGUGUCUGCAUGCCAUGGCCCAUUAUACAUUUUGAAGCACAUCAGCUCUCUCAGGAAAGAACAAAUCUACAUGCUGUUUCCCACAGAUUGAACCUACUUAGGAAGAAAAAACAACAACAAAUCUUUCCCAGUCAAGACCAUUUUGCAGCUUGAGGAAAAGCUUCUGGAAAGAGAUGAUCUUCAUAACUACAAAUAUUAGAGGAGCUGUUCAUUGGGUGAAAAUAUGCAACAUUCCAAGUAUAUAGGGAUCCUUCUCUCCAACCAUUUUAAACUCAUCUUGCAGGAUGUUCUUGUCUCUGGUGUAAGAGAUGCACCCGUCUGUGUAUUUGUACCAAACUAUUUUAACAAAGAAAAUAAAAUCUGUAGUGCUUUGUUCUGCAUCUGCAAAGUGACAGUCA